rnacentral:lncRNA from 1 species
CUGGGAGGGGAUGCGAUAGCUGAGCAGGCCACGGCUGGAGCUGGCCAGAGGAAAGGGAGAUUGCGUGAAGAUGGGAAGACACCGGGGCCAGGAAAAGCCAUCCUUCAUGAGCUUGACAGCCCUGGGAGCCGACAGAGGGACUUACUGAACGGGACUAAAGGAAGCGGGACCACAUCUCUAAGACAGUGGAGAGGGGAGAGGAAGCUGCAGCAGGCAGCUAGGCUCAAGCAGCGGCAGACUGAAACCUGGGUGCACUCACUUUCAUCCUGGGUGACCCCCUCCCUGAGCCUCCAUCCUUACAAGAGUAUAAAGAUGGCCACAGCCUCAGAAGGACAAACUGCCAGGAGUAUGUUGAGGUCAGCUACACUACACACUUCUACCAUGAUGCAUUGCUUCACCACAGGUUCCCAAACAACCAGAAUGAACAUUGUCACCUUUUAGAGUUCAAGUUGGGUAUGCAGAGACCAGGAAGACUUUGGGAGACACCAUCCCACCUGAGGAUAACAGGCAUGCCUGGUGCCUAUGGAAGCCGGAAGAAGCCUUUGGAGCCCCUGGAACUGACAUUACAGAUAAUCGUGAACUGUCAUUUGGGUGGUGAGAACAGAGCCCAGGACCUCUGGAAGAGCAACCAGUGCUCUUAACCACUGAGCCAUCCCUCCAGCCAUCUCUAUUCUCUGCUUGUCUUUUAUGUCUUAGUUCUUCCAUAUUCAAGUCUCUGAACACCCGACUGCUGAUCACUUGUGACAUGUGCUGUGGGCUUGGCCAGUGUGCCUUGAGGCUGUGGCAGCCCUGCUAAGAGGUGAAGUCAGAGGGGCAGGUUCCAGCCACCUACACCCCAAGUCCUACAGUCUCCGGGGUUUGGUCAGCCUGGUGUGCACUGGCUGGCCCUCUCCUUGUGGUUGUGGCUGGUAGCCUGGGAGGAGAGAGAGUGGGGUAAGCCACUCACCCCCACGGCUGCCUUCUGAGGCCAGCCAGCUCGCUGGGCCAUUAACCAGGCAAGCCACGGCAGCAAUAAAAUGAACCAGGAAAGAAUCAACUGUGCUUUAAAUGAGUCACUGAGCCAACAAUCAACAGAGCACUGCGUAAAUCCUCACCUAGAUGAGAAGACAGUGGCCUUCUUUCUGGUUGAAGGUUAAAUCCAAGACAUGAUGAGUCUGCUCUGCAUUCCUGAGCUCCACCUCGGAUCCUAAAACAUGUUUGAGGAAAAUUCUCUUCCCAUCUCAUGGACAGGGGUAGAAUUUUAAAAAAGAACAUAAAUUAUCAUCCUAAAAUCACAGCAAACAGGUAGAGUGUGACCACCC